rnacentral:lncRNA from 1 species
ACGGGAUAGGAGUCGCGCGCGUGGACGGAAGGAGAAGGAAGUGAGCGAAGAUGGUGGCUUGCACGAGGCGACGGACGACCGGAGACGAGUGAUCCUGCUCCAUCAACGGUUUGAGGUCAGUUUCUUCGACAUUUUUUCGCUCGCACAUUGCGUGGUUAGUGGGGUUUCUUCGCCGACGCCUCGUCGUCAUCAAGGGCCACAGGAGGACGCGAGGAAUGGCGGUGGAUGUAGACCACGAAGCAAAUCAUUUUCAUAGUGGUGUAUUUUCAGUUCGUAGGCUAUUCGGGGGUAGUUGGAUUUUCACCAGAGGAUCCCGGGCGGUUGGGGUGGUGGUGCUCAAGAGUUUUUCACGAGGGACUGCGGCAGCCUUUUCUCUGCAUCAGUUUCUGAAUAGAACCACAUAGAUUCCAGGACAUGGGCAACAACAAUUAGAGAGAGUCUUUUUAGGCAAUCAGAGAGAGAUAAGCAGGCAAAAACACUAGAUAAUGUUUUGCCAUGUUUUAUCUGUGUUCGUAAGCAAUACUGUGUGUUUUUGUAGGCAAAAUAAUGCAUAAAUGCUCACCAUUUUUUUAUCUGUGUUUCUUAGGCAAUCCAAUGUGUUUUUGUAGGCAACCAGAGAAAGAUAAGUAGGCAAAAAAUGCACAAAUAUUCGCCAUGUGUUCGUAGGCAACACCAAUGUGUUUUUUGAGAGAUAAGUAGGAAAAAAAAUGCAUAAGAUGUGUUCAUAGGCAAUCCCGUAGGCAAUAUCAUGUGUUUUUGUGUUUCAUCAGCUGACAACACAUUAAGGACAAUAAAACUGAGCCUAAAUCGAGCUCUCUCAGGCCCCCAAUGAUUUUGGCCAUUAGAUUUUGCGUUUGAACCAUAUCUUGUCAUCAGAUCUGUGUUUCUGCGCCGAUUUACCGCGAUUGGGCUGGCUGUCCUUAUAGGCCGCUACUCUGGGGACUUUUUUGAAGGCUUGUCAUUGAGUGGGCUUAUUGGUCCAUUUAUCUAUCUAACUCAGGAAGCCACCACUGCGCAGCAAUCGGUGAAUGUCUAAAAAAUGCAGCGAUCGGUGCUUCAUUAGCCCAUUUAUCAUCUGCAUCCAUCCGACACGCGGGUGAGGAGAGGACUGAGGAAUUGAGGAGCCAAGGCGAUGCUAGAUCUAGAGCUAGAGGGGAUGAUGUUGACGCGACGCACGCAAGGGAACUGGCGGUCGAGGGGAUCCAGCGGACUCGAGCCACAGGACGCGAGUGAGGUAACCGGCGGUCCAGGGGAUCCAGUCGACGCAAGGGAUCCAGCGCUCGAGGGCAUCAACCAUAGGCGCUGGAUGCAGGUGAAUCGAACGCCGGUCGAUCCAGCCGGUCCGGGCGAUCCGCCUACGAGGAAGAGACGAACCCGUAGUCAACUUCAUGGUGUACUUCAGCGCCAACAAUGCAUGCUUGCCUGACCACUUGCAGGCGCACCAGGACAAGCCCCUCGAGGAUACAGGCGUAUGAGGUCUUGCCUUGAUAUGAUUUCGGUGCCUUUAGUCAACUUUCUGGCCCCACGGUAGAUUUUACCCACUACAUGGUUCAAUGGUUGGUGUUCAGAUCUAGGUCUUUUGCAUGUUUAAUUAGAUAAAUUGGUUGAAGGUAAAAAAUGGCGGCUGAUGUGCCGAUCCUUUCCGCUGCCGAGGGGUAUAGGUACUUCUAUAUAUGCUUCCUCACCGGCCACUCUUUGUUAACCCUCUCCACUCUCUGCAACAAAACAUCUUUCAGCAUGAUGCUCGGGGAGGUUUUCUCCUUUCAGUUCAUGUAUAUGAUUCAUUGUUGUGCCAAGCAAUUGCAUUAUCCUCAUAUCCUCUCAUACCAAGAAUUCUACAUAGAGGUGGUGUUCAUGCUGGCUGUACUCAACUGAUUUUGGCACAUCUUGGAGCUUGGUGCUGGGAAUUUUUUGUUCGGCAAUUCAUAAUCUGAAAUGGCUUUUGGACAUGUAAAUACUCCACGCCUUAUACUUACACAUUUUACCAUCCAUGUUUUUUGCUGCAUGAUUAAUUCCAGUGUUAUUUAUUGUUGUUAUAGGGAACAAAUUAAUUAGAAAACUAUAUUAGAAUGUGUAAAAAACAUAGUCAUGUUGUCGUAUAGGGAGGCGAAGCCUCAACAUCUUCUGCUUCUAUCCAUAAGCAAGCAAAAGCCUAACAUCCUAUGGAUAAUUCCUUUCUUACUUCAAUUAAAUAAAAUAUUGUUGAUACACUUUGGAUGCUGCUCUAUGGGGUCAUGAUGCAACAAGCUUUGAUGCUCCUACUAUUUACAACACUAGCUUGUCAAAGGUCCUUAUAAUUUUGCUUGAGUAAACUUAACGAAAAGAUACCGCAGUAUGUCCUUCGUGUGAUCUAUCAUAUAACCAUUUCCUCAUGCAAUCAAUUAAUUUGACUUCUUUUUGUCGAGCAACAUACUACCUACAUAUUCUGCAACCCACAACACUAUCAAGUACGGACAAGCUGGUUGCAUAUUAGCACUGAUAUCUUGGAGAUGGAGAGUGAUGCAUCUCGAAGGCCUGAUGUUGUUCUGCAAAAAUAUCAGUCGACAUUUCAUAAAUACAUAGGUUGAAUGGCACUGCUAACAGGAGCACUGAAUAGCAGUCCUCAUUUCCUAUUAAUACUUAGCAGUGUAGAACUAUAGAUGAUGUUCAUCAUAAGGAUUAAGUGUUUCAAAUUACUACUUUGUUUUCUGGUUCUCAACUGCCAACCAAUACAUCAGUGGGUCCUCAUUAAUCUUACUCUGUUUUAAUAUAUCCCUGAAUCCUUAAUCAUCAAUGUGACUACCUUUCUCCUACACUAAGGUAUAAGUGCAAGUCUUAGCUACUGUCAGAUUGUUCCUUUCAGAAAUAGUGUGUGCUUCAGCUUUUUAAUUACAUUAAAUUAAUGUCCUUUAUCAUGUUGUUACUAGACUGUACCAGUCGGGAUUGAACUGCAGAACAUGUCAACAGCUCUGCUUGCCUAAGUUGUCAAUGGCGCCAUCGAGGUUUGCUAAUCUUUAUAUGGUACAGUAAAUUUCUUUUGCUUAGUUCUUUCGUGCACUUUCCUUUCAACUUGUUUUGUGCUGACUCACGUAAGUGUAGUUAUGAUUUGUGUGUUGUGCAAACAGUUGAUCAGGUUCACGAAUGUCAACCUUAUUGGGGUAAUUUAAUGGAUUAUAUCUCUUUCUGCUUGUAUUGUUAUUUUAAUUGGAGUAAGGAAGGAGCUUUCUCAAACUUUGGACUUCUCCACGGAUCAAAAAUUAUACUAAGAUGCCAUUGGGAAUCCCUAUAUUUUUUCUUAUCAAAGCUUGUAUUCAGUUGUCAUCAUUAUAUAAAGCUGCUCCGAUCUGCAUUCUUAGAACUUUCUCUAUUUUUCUCCUGUUGUUCUACAUAGAUAUAUAUAUGCUUAUACAAGUUUGGACUUGCUACCUUCUAUCUCGCAGCAUUUUAUUCGACUGAAGGCUUUGAAUGGUUGUGUGGUAAUUAAUUUCAAUCCCAUGUCUCAUGGAACUCCUUGG